AGUCUGGAUGGCAACAAGUGUCAGGUACUGGUUGGCAGCUAGGACGACGUGUACUGGAGCGACUGGAGCACCGGGGACAUUGAUCAAGACGGGCCAGAGCCGCAGCCUUGCCAAGGUCGUGCCCUGCAUCCCCCCAGCUACGACAGACUGCCCGAAUGUGCCGCUGCCGUUGUCCGCCCCGUAACAUUGCCGUGCAUGCCAUAAAGGAGAGGCGUCUUCUCUUCUCGACAGAUAUCGGCAGCCAUCUGGCCAUCAUUCGGGCCCGAGUCGAUGGCAUGUAAGCAUGUGGAGCUGGAAGAAGUCACGGCGCUGGACCUGGACCAACAGUUUGAUAUAUGUAUUAGUGGAAUCGAAACCCCAGUCGCCUGAUCUAAGCUAGCUGUACCGCCGUAUACGCAAAACGCCAAUAUCGGCCAAAUCCGCGUUAAGGAACCGGCUUCAGAAAGAGUUGGCCAAAAUCGGCCAUGAAUAUACCCAAAAAAUCAUAAAAAAUAUCACAAACGCCUAAGCGCCACAUUAAAAAAUAGUAGGUAUCAUAAUAAAAUAUAAAAUUACUUUUUUUCGAGAUCAUAUAAGAAAAUUCCGAAUAUUAAAGUAACGCA
rnacentral:misc_RNA from 1 species